rnacentral:rRNA from 1 species
GGGGGGUACGGUGGUCGGCAUAUUGGGCGUAAGGGCUCGCAGGCGGUUUCUUAAGUCUGAUGUGAAAGCCCCCGGCUCAACCGGGGAGGGUCAUUGGAAACUGGGGAACUUGAGUGCAGAAGAGGAGAGUGGAAUUCCACGUGUAGCGGUGAAAUGCGUAGAGAUGUGGAGGAACACCAGUGGCGAAGGCGACUCUCUGGUCUGUAACUGACGCUGAGGAGCGAAAGCGUGGGGAGCGAACAGGAUUAGAUACCCUGGUAGUCCACGCCGUAAACGAUGAGUGCUAAGUGUUAGGGGGUUUCCGCCCCUUAGUGCUGCAGCUAACGCAUUAAGCACUCCGCCUGGGGAGUACGGUCGCAAGACUGAAACUCAAAGGAAUUGACGGGGGCCCGCACAAGCGGUGGAGCAUGUGGUUUAAUUCGAAGCAACGCGAAGAACCUUACCAGGUCUUGACAUCCUCUGACAAUCCUAGAGAUAGGACGUCCCCUUCGGGGGCAGAGUGACAGGUGGUGCAUGGUUGUCGUCAGCUCGUGUCGUGAGAUGUUGGGUUAAGUCCCGCAACGAGCGCAACCCUUGAUCUUAGUUGCCAGCAUUCAGUUGGGCACUCUAAGGUGACUGCCGGUGACAAACCGGAGGAAGGUGGGGAUGACGUCAAAUCAUCAUGCCCCUUAUGACCUGGGCUACACACGUGCUACAAUGGACAGAACAAAGGGCAGCGAAACCGCGAGGUUAAGCCAAUCCCACAAAUCUGUUCUCAGUUCGGAUCGCAGUCUGCAACUCGACUGCGUGAAGCUGGAAUCGCUAGUAAUCGCGGAUCAGCAUGCCGCGGUUGAAUACGUUCCCGGGCCUUGUACACACCGCCCGUCACACCACGAGAGUUUGUAACACCCGAAGUCGGUGAGGUAACCUUUUAGGAGCCAGCCGCCGAAGGUGGGACAGAUGAUUGGGUGAUUACAGGGGGGGGAAACAAAA